CAGGAUGAGGGCGGUCUGGCUGAGACAUCUGUCUGUCUCCCCACUGAUUGCCAGGGUGAUCUUGCUGAUCAGGCUGGCUAAGCAGGUGCCCUCUUACUCCUUCACAGCCUCAUGCCUGUCCUUCCUAAAGUUGUAUGCUUUCUCCUACCCCAGAGAUAAGCACCAGAACUGUUUUAGCUGCACUCCCCUGCUAGAAGCUCCAAAAAAGCUCUCAAAGACGUGGGCUGGGGCUAUAGCUCGGGGGUAAAACGUUAAAGCACUUGCCUAGCGUGUACCUAAGGCCCUAGGUUUAAU
rnacentral:snRNA from 1 species